CUUCAAAUUACCUGAGGAUCUGUUAAAAUUCAGAUUCUGAUUCAUUUGGUCUGGGUUGGGGCCUGAGAGUCUGUAAUUCUACCAAGCUCCUAGGUGAUGAUGUU
rnacentral:pre_miRNA from 1 species